GGAGAGCCUGGAAGGAGCCCUGACUAAGAAGCAGUAACAAGCAGAAGAACAAGUCUGUGCUGUGAAGAACUGCCCCCAAGAAAUAUUGCUGAGAAGUGCCAGAAUUCAAUGCCCCUCAGCAGCUUGCCUGUAUUACCUGUAAGAUGGAAGUGCAAGUGGAGAUUAUGAAUCCCCAACCCCUUUGCAUACACACAGACACAGGAGAAAAAGGCUAAAGAAUUAACUGAUAAGUUCUGACAUUGCAUUUGGAGCUCUGCUGGAUAUUCCUGAGGUCCUGUCCUUAUGGAGAGAGGACUUUGCUGUGCCAGAUAAAUAGGAAGAAAUGCACUUGCAGUGUGACUGGAUCAGCAUCCCUCAGCAGCAAAGACUUUCCCUACACUAUCACCAAACCCAGUUAGCUUAAAAGACAGGAAAACCCAAACCACUCACAACUUCCUCCCUGAUCAGUGCAAAUCAGCCAUGAACUGGAAUCUCUGGAAGUCACUAAACAGCCUGUAACUUGUAUGAGAAACUCUCUAUUUUAAGAGAAUUUCUGCAUCUGUUUCCCCAGCAGACCCUGCCAACUUGCCUUCUGCUUGAAACUUCUGUGAGUAUGGGAAUGUGGAAAUGGAAGAUAACUUUUAAAAACAUGAUCUGAAGGACAGCUAUCUCCAGGUCUUGUGCACCAAAAUGAUCUAGGUAUGAAACUGAAAGAGGACAAACAAAGAAAAGGUUUUCCCUCACAUUCCUAGACUGGGAAUGUGGGAGUGCACAGCUUAUUGCUUCCUGGCACUCACACUCCCAAAUGUGACAAUAAUGCUGCAAGGAUAAUCAGUCCAAUUUAUGUUCCAAGUGUGAAAUGUCCAAAUCCUGCACAACAGGGGGGCUUUCAUCAUUUCAUCUGCGUGCAAUGAAUGCAGAGAAUAAUUAGCAAAAUGAAUGAAAAGGCUUUGGACUCGAUUUUAAUCCACCUCUGUGCAAUGGGAAUAACACCCCAAUUCAUUAGGCAUCAGAUGCACAUUAGUGAAACACAGUGGCAACUUAAUUCAGCUGGGAAGGGCAUCCCCCCAGGGAGAGCUGAAACAAGCCAGCCCAUCAUUUCUCCAUAUGUGGCUAGCUUCAAUUAACCUUCCCAAAGCACAAAUUGGUGCACACCUUGAAGGAAAAUGGAAAAGAACAGCUACUUUAUGGGCCUUCCUGCUGUAUUUCAAGAUGGUUUCCUCAUCCUGAGCAAGUUGGAACAGCAGGAGUGGUGGGAAUUUCGAUGGAAGUUAAUUCAGGCACUGGAACAAUGUAUUUAGGGGACCUCUCCGAUAGUCAGAACAGGAUUUGCAGUAUCUUUAGGGAAUAUUAUUACUAAAUUUCAACUUUCAUUUAUUCCUCUGGAUUGUUCUACUCUUGCCCUUGUCACUUUGGAUCAAGUUCUCCUUUGUGAGCUUGUUUUCUCAUUUAUUAAAGGCCAAGUGGUAUUCUGUUUACUCAAUUUCAUGGGAAAACAGAGUGACAGCUUGCUGUGAGCUUUGGGAAUAAAUGCUGUAUCCUGAAGUCUCAUUUCCUUGCAAACCCUCCUAUUAAAGCAAUAAGUGGGAAGGGUGAGCCAAUUUUCCUUUGCUCUAAACUUUCCCUAAAGGUUUGCUUAGUGUCUUUAGCUUAGAGAGAAUCUAGAAGGAAAACGCUCGUGCGCUCCAAUUUUUGUUUUCUUGGUAAAAUAUCUAGGAACUUGGCAAGUGCAGAGCUGAGGGGAGAAGUUAAUUUAACUGAUAUCCUGCUCAGCUGGGAUCCUCUUGCCUUUUGAGGUCUCAGUUUGCAAUUCCAGCACUGUACAAAUUGGCCAUUACAGAAAUUGCUUAUUAGUUUUCCCAGGGUUUCAAGUUGCACCCCAGACUUCAGAAUUCUCAGGGACACUCUGAGGAAACUGGGAUGUGUGACUCCCAGGGCUGUCCUUGACCCCCUCCUCAGCUCUGAGACAAACCUCCUUCUCUGCCGGGCCCAUGGCAUGCAGAGCUGAGGAUACAGAGUGACUCUUGUCCCAGAAUAGUUCAGGCACCCUAUGGAUGUUCCAGGGAGGGAGAACUGUGCUUGAAUAGCUAUCCUCACUUGUCCUGCUUGUUCCUGAACAAAGGACAUCUGUGACCCAGCAGCAGACACAAUAAAUGGAUGUCACUGCUGAGGGAAAGCUGAGGAAUUUUCCAUGCCACUCACCAAAUCCAGCCCUUGGAGGCUGAGGUUACUCCACUGGAAUCAGUUCAGCCAUAACUAAUGUGAAGGACAACAUGGAAGCAGAGUCUAUAACAAAUCAGUCAGGGCAGAGAUGUCCUCCCUCCAUCUCACUCCUUGCACAGCUCUGUCAUCAGAGAGACCUUCCUGCCCUCCCUCCUCUGAUCCAGAGGGCACACCAGGCACAAAUGGAGAUAUCAGACAUCUCCAGAGCCACUGGCCAGAUCUGGUGCUUGCUGUGAAAGUGAGUCACAACCUUCCUCAUCCUUCCCACAUCUGCAUAAAUCAGUCCUCGGCACAGGCUGCUCCAGGGAAGAGAGCUGAGGGGUAAAUCUCAGGCAAAUGGCAAUGCUUGUGCUCUGGCCCAGUGGCCAGACGUGCAGGGAACGUCCUCCUGGCCUCAGUGAUGACAGGCAUUUCUGACACUUGGCAUUAAUCUUUCUCUGAUUCUGGCCGUGUCACUGCAGCCUCUCCUUACACCUCCUCCAACCUGUCAUGCAGCCCAUGGAUGUGACAAGAGGUGCAAACUGCAGAUGCUCUGGCAAGCUCAGCUUUAAAUAGUUUAAUCCUGGCAAGUUUGUGCUGCUGAGGUUUUACAAAGGUGAAGCCCUUUGAGUGUGGAGGUGAUGAAUGGCUGCUCAGUGUGGCAAGCACUCAGGACAGCAGGGGCUUCUAAAUUCCUCCUCGUUUUCGUAUUUCACACAGAGAGCAAAGCCUUGAAUUCAGUGUGAUGCUUGUGUGGUCUGUUUGUAAACAUGCAGCAAGAGGGGGUGAUUUAGGGGAUAACCAGUCCAUGGACCCCAGAUUUUCUCUUAUGCAGCUGCCAUUCUGUCAGCUCCUGGAGGCACAGCUUGCCUUCCUUCCUUCCCUCCUCCCUGCUGCCCAGGCCCCUCUGCAGUCCCAGGGAAAGGGCUGGAAAUGACUCAAGGACAAGGCAGGCUUCCCCUCUCAGUGUGAAAAGGAAAAGGCCCCUCUGAGACACCAGAAAACCACAAAGAAAGUGGCUCAGUUACCUGUGGGGCAGCAGGAUUCCCAGGCUCUGGAGCUGCAGGGAGGAGAGGGCAGGAUGGGAGCAGAGCAUUGGUUUCUCAGUGUCCUGUGCUCCUUCCAGGGCAGAAAUCUCUGAGAUUUACAGAGAUCCAUGUAGCAUCUUAGAGAUCCUAUUAUUAGCAAGCUCUGUUUAACCUCCCAGAGCAUCCAUCAAGCCAAAGCAUCACAGUAACACUCCCCAGCUGUUAUAUUACAUGGAUAAUUAUAGUCUGCAGAUGCUAAUGCAAGGAACCCAUG